AGCCACGCUUCUAACUCCUGGUUUGUGCGACUCUCUCUCUCUCUGGGAUCACCAUCCAUUGGGUGAUGCUGCCUCUAUUUAGGAUGAGACUUCCUACCUCAGUGAAUCCAACACAGAAACUUCCUCACAGAUGUUCCCAGAGCUUCAAGCAACACUGCAAGGAGUGUCUGGAAUUAUGACUUUGAGAGAAGAAUGAAGCAGAUAUGAUUACCAACUCCACCACUUGCAGAGAUUGUGGAUCUGCUAUUGAGUUUCUCUAAAUAUCUACAAAAUGGGAUGAAGAUGUCACUCUGGUAGUGCUAGAGUCUUUGGCUACCAUGAGCAAGUGCCUGGGUUCUGUCCAUAGUGCUAGGCUGGGGAUGAGAAGAAGACAGAGAAUAUAGUCACUUAAUAGAUUUGAUGUGAAAAUUGACUUUUUAAAGAAAAAAAUGAAACAAAGCUGAUGAGCAAAUAUAGGCACAAAAGGAGAGAAGACAAAGAGGAAGUGAAGUGGGGGAAGACAAAGAGAAACAAAAGACAGAGGAAAAGGAUAAAGAAAAAUGAAUUGUUGCAAGAUAAUAGAAAAGCUACUGAAUCGUGAAUGGCAUAGAAUGUGGAAAAAAUGUAAUAAAAUGUGGAAAAAAUGUAA